rnacentral:rRNA from 1 species
GGGCCUACGGGGGGCAGCAGUGGGGGAUAUUGCACAAUGGGGGAAACCCUGAUGCAGCGACGCCGCGUGGACGAAGAAGUAUUUCGGUAUGUAAAGUCCUAUCAGCAGGGAAGAAGAAAUGACGGUACCUGACUAAGAAGCCCCGGCUAACUACGUGCCAGCAGCCGCGGUAAUACGUAGGGGGCAAGCGUUAUCCGGAUUUACUGGGUGUAAAGGGAGCGUAGACGGCAGCGCAAGUCUGGAGUGAAAUGCCGGGGCCCAACCCCGGAACUGCUCUGGAAACUGUGAAGCUGGAGUGCAGGAGG